rnacentral:tRNA from 1 species
UGAGAAGUAGUUAUUGUGGUAAAAACUAUGCUUUGUCAAAGCAUCUUAGCAAGUUCGAAUCUUGUCUUCUUAU